CUCAAAAAUGGAGCAAACUAUCAGUCACUAUAGGUGGGUGUGGGUUAAUGAUAACUUUAAUUUUUAGUAUGCCUGGUUGUAGAAGAAGGCCUAGGACGGAUUUAAAAAGAGGCAUGAUCCUGUACGCACUGAGUUGGAAUGUGACAACAGCUCUUCUGAUAUUACUGUUGUAGACAAGAGUACCAACACAGAUACUAUAAUUAUGAUGGAAAAGAGUGCCAUUACUGCUUUGUCAUGUUUAGCGACAUCAGAGAAAGGUACUAGUACAAUUGAGAAUGAUAACGAUGAAUUGUAUUUCAGUGUUUGGAAAGAAUGAAGAUUUUGAUGAAACUUUGUAAAU